GUAUAUGUUCAAUUACUUAAUUGGUGAUCCGCACACCAGUGAUGGACACAAAUAAAGAAAAUAUGUAUUAUGCUUAUUACUAAACUACACAGAACCGUAAAUACGAUUGACCGUUUAUUCUUUUCUAGUACAUCUAUGUGUAAGUUGCAUAAUUAGCAAUAAUUCUGCGUCAUAUCAUCCGACAAUAGCCCUUACAGAUUCAGUCUUUCCGAAGAGCUUCUUUGGAUUCAUCUUCAUAAGCAAAGCUCCAACCUAACAACUUGAAAGCCAGUGAUGUAUAUCUGUAGGAACUAUAGGAGCUAUAUGACAAACAAAGACCU
rnacentral:lncRNA from 1 species